UUCCUUUCAGUGGACUUCUGUAUUCCAGCUAUUCUAGUUUUUUGAUAAAAUUUUGCACCAAUACCCAUCGUGACAUUCUUGUAACACAAAAUGAGUGAAUUUGAUUGGUUAUUCCAUAUAUGGCGAUCAGCAUGCAAUAUACAAAAUGGCCAUCAUCGACAAGAAGUCAAAGUCCAUAAACACGCAUUAAAUAUGUUUGAUAUUUUUGAUUAUAUAAGGUGAUGGAAGGACAACAUUUUAUGCUCACAAUGUUCUUGACAUCCUUGCUUGUGACAAUAGUGAUGCUGGUGAUUCAGAUAGCAGCAGUGACAAUGAAUGUUGGGAACAGAUACAGGGAGAAUACUCUGGCAGCAGUGAUGAUGAUGGUGAGUUUGAAAAUGUGAGUGGGGAAAUCGAUGAUAGUGAUGACAAUGAUGAUAACAUGCCCCUAGCUUCAAUGCGAACAAGUAAGCCGAGUUGGAGAAAAACUUCAUUUGUUGUGUCGGAAACUAGUGUAUCAUUUACUGGUCCAAACGUUGAAGCCCCAGUGAACAUGGAAACAAAAACUCCUCUUCAAUAUUUUAAGCAAUUUGUGAGUGAUGAUAUGCUUCAAAAUUUGGUGACAAGCACCAAUGAAUACAGUGUCCAAAAGUCUGGAAACUCAAUAAACACUAAUAAAAAAGAGAUAGAACAA